GGGACGAACGCUGGCGGCGUGCUUAACACAUGCAAGUCGAGCGAGGCCCUUCCUUCGGGAAGGUGUCCUAGCGGCGAACGGGUGAGUAACACGUGGGCAACCUGCCCAUAGCUCUGGGAUAAGCGUUGGAAACGGCGUCUAAUACCGGAUACGACACGGGACGGCAUCAUCUCCGUGUGGAAAGAAUUUCGGCUAUGGAUGGGCCCGCGGCCUAUCAGCUAGUUGGUGAGGUAAUAGCUCACCAAGGCGACGAC
rnacentral:rRNA from 1 species